ACUCCUACGGGAGGCAGCAGUGAGGAAUAUUGGACAAUGGGCGGGAGCCUGAUCCAGCCAUGCCGCGUGCAGGAAGACGGUCCUAUGGAUUGUAAACUGCUUUUGUACGGGAAGAACAAGGGGCACGUGUGCCCUUCUGACGGUACCGUAAGAAUAAGGAUCGGCUAACUCCGUGCCAGCAGCCGCGGUAAUACGGAGGAUCCGAGCGUUAUCCGGAAUCAUUGGGUUUAAAGGGUCCGUAGGCGGGCCAUUAAGUCAGGGGUGAAAGUCUGCGGCUCAACCGUAGAAUUGCCCUUGAUACUGGUGGUCUUGAGUUAUGGUGAAGUAACUAGAAUAUGUAGUGUAGCGGUGAAAUGCAUAGAUAUUACAUAGAAUACCGAUUGCGAAGGCAGGUUACUAACCAUAUACUGACGCUGAUGGACGAAAGCGUGGGGAGCGAACAGGAUUAGAUACCCUGGUAGGACAGUG
rnacentral:rRNA from 1 species